rnacentral:rRNA from 1 species
UGGGGCGGGGUGCUAUACAUGCAAGUCGAACGCGUUGGCCCAAUUGAUUGACGGUGCUUGCACCUGAUUGAUUUUGGUCGCCAACGAGUGGCGGACGGGUGAGUAACACGUAGGUAACCUGCCCAGAAGCGGGGGACAACAUUUGGAAACAGAUGCUAAUACCGCAUAACAGCGUUGUUCGCAUGAACAACGCUUAAAAGAUGGCUUCUCGCUAUCACUUCUGGAUGGACCUGCGGUGCAUUAGCUUGUUGGUGGGGUAAUGGCCUACCAAGGCGAUGAUGCAUAGCCGAGUUGAGAGACUGAUCGGCCACAAUGGGACUGAGACACGGCCCAUACUCCUACGGGAGGCAGCAGUAGGGAAUCUUCCACAAUGGGCGCAAGCCUGAUGGAGCAACACCGCGUGAGUGAAGAAGGGUUUCGGCUCGUAAAGCUCUGUUGUUAAAGAAGAACACGUAUGAGAGUAACUGUUCAUACGUUGACGGUAUUUAACCAGAAAGUCACGGCUAACUACGUGCCAGCAGCCGCGGUAAUACGUAGGUGGCAAGCGUUAUCCGGAUUUAUUGGGCGUAAAGAGAGUGCAGGCGGUUUUCUAAGUCUGAUGUGAAAGCCUUCGGCUUAACCGGAGAAGUGCAUCGGAAACUGGAUAACUUGAGUGCAGAAGAGGGUAGUGGAACUCCAUGUGUAGCGGUGGAAUGCGUAGAUAUAUGGAAGAACACCAGUGGCGAAGGCGGCUACCUGGUCUGCAACUGACGCUGAGACUCGAAAGCAUGGGUAGCGAACAGGAUUAGAUACCCUGGUAGUCCAUGCCGUAAACGAUGAGUGCUAGGUGUUGGAGGGUUUCCGCCCUUCAGUGCCGGAGCUAACGCAUUAAGCACUCCGCCUGGGGAGUACGACCGCAAGGUUGAAACUCAAAGGAAUUGACGGGGGCCCGCACAAGCGGUGGAGCAUGUGGUUUAAUUCGAAGCUACGCGAAGAACCUUACCAGGUCUUGACAUCUUGCGCCAACCCUAGAGAUAGGGCGUUUCCUUCGGGAACGCAAUGACAGGUGGUGCAUGGUCGUCGUCAGCUCGUGUCGUGAGAUGUUGGGUUAAGUCCCGCAACGAGCGCAACCCUUGUUACUAGUUGCCAGCAUUAAGUUGGGCACUCUAGUGAGACUGCCGGUGACAAACCGGAGGAAGGUGGGGACGACGUCAGAUCAUCAUGCCCCUUAUGACCUGGGCUACACACGUGCUACAAUGGACGGUACAACGAGUCGCGAACUCGCGAGGGCAAGCAAAUCUCUUAAAACCGUUCUCAGUUCGGACUGCAGGCUGCAACUCGCCUGCACGAAGUCGGAAUCGCUAGUAAUCGCGGAUCAGCAUGCCGCGGUGAAUACGUUCCCGGGCCUUGUACACACCGCCCGUCACACCAUGAGAGUUUGUAACACCCAAAGUCGGUGGGGUAACCUUUUAGGAGCCAGCCGCCUAAGGUUGACCAAAAGA